rnacentral:rRNA from 1 species
GACGAACGCUGGCGGCGUGCCUAAUACAUGCAGGUCGAACGACCCAGGCGGAGCUUGCUCCUCUGGAUGAGUUGCGACCGGGUGAGUAACGCGUAGGUAACCUGCCUUGCAACGGGGGAUAACUCUUCGCACCUAUAGCUACUACCGCAUACCAGUCCUUAUUGCAUUGCAUUGACUGCAACGGUGCAAUUUGGUCUCUACCAGAUGGAACUGCGUGGGAUUUGCUCGUUGGUGGGGUAACGGCUCUCCAAGGCACGGAUACAUAGCCGACCUGUGAGGGGGGUCGGCCACAACUGGACUGCGACACGGCCCAGACUCCUACGGGAGGCACCAGUAGGGAAUCUUCGGCAAUGGACGGGAGUCUGACCGAGCAGCGCCGCGUGAGUGAAGAAGGUUCUCGGAUCGUAAAGCUCUGUUGUAAGAGAAGAACGAGUGUGAGAGUGGAAAGUUCACACUGUGACGGUAUCUUACCAGAAAGGGACGGCUAACUACGUG